UAGUCAUUGUUAGAAUAUCGACUAAGCUCUCGUUCUCUCCCCCUACCCAGCCGUGAAGGUUUCCAGUUUUAAUUCUGUAAGACUGUAUUUUGUGCUUCCUCACACACACAAUCUAUAUGGUGUCUCUGUCCAUAGAGCAUUCCCCGGCUUGUAUCAGAGCCGGGUACCAUCUGGACUCUCUACUGUUUUCCUUGUGCCAGAUGUUUUUUAUGGAUGGGAAAUUUGUGCUCAUCCCUUACCUCCCCCCUCCAGCUUAAGGUUUAUAUUUAUUUAACCCAGGCUAGAAAGUAGAAAUAUCUUUUCUUAAAAAUAACUCUGUCAUCAUCUAACCUUCCAUACACACCCUGCAAACCCACCCAGUGGUAUUAGAGUGGUACUAGUUUUAAUCAUUAUGCAGAAAGCAGUUCUCAAAAUUUAGCAUCCUUGUUUUCAAGGAUGUGUAACUGAUGUAUGAAAAAUUUCAUACCAAACCCACACCUCUUUGGCUCCAUCAAAAGAAGGUAAAAUUAAAGUUUAGUUAUAAGAAAAGGGGUCUGGAAUUUAAAUAAGAACAUCAGUGGAAUCUUCAUACCAAAUUAUGUACUUGAAUAUGUAUCCACGGGAUAUGAAGACACAUCUACUGAGAAAAGUUGACAGUGAAAAAUAAGAAAAACAACAGGGCAGUCUGGUACAUUCAUUUAAAACGAGUUAGGGGUUAGACAUGAGGAAAAAGCUAAACUCUUCCUUUUGCUUUAUUUUCCAAAAGUCAGAGGCAGCCACUGCUGUGCCUUGAUCUAGAUCCAUGAAUUGCAUUGUCACAAGCAAAGAAGAAACUGUUCUGUGCUUCUUACACGGAGAUCUGUUGGGUGAUCCAUGUAGGAAACUAGAAUUCCUCUGUCCAGGGACUCGAGUCCAGGAAAAGAGCAAAUAUGCACGUGUGUCUGGACCUAUGAGAAGUCAAAAGAAAGCAGGACCUUUACCAGUGAUUGCUCUUACUUGGAAACUCUCCUGGCAUUUUGUAGGCAAUAAAAACGUAAAAAGAAUACUCUCUGCAGAGACUUUCACAAGCCUGGCCCCCAGUUCAUAAUCUGCGGCACAAAACAUCUUCAAUCUGAUACCAGAGCUGUUUAUCAAUCUGUCCAACAGCAACAUAGGAACCAGUACUGCUCUUAUGACAAGCCCCGGGUCAGUUCUCCUAUCACUGAAACCCCCACCAACAUUGUGAAAAAAAAAAAAAAAAAAAAACCAUGCCGAUCUGAGAAAACACUGAGGAAAAUUUCUCUAAGAAAGACACAGAAGUGAAAAUGUGAUACCUGCAAAGUAAAAAUCGUGAUUCGAUAUUAAUAACAAUUAACUGCUCUCUGAUUAGCUAUCCUUAUCCGGAGUCAGGACUACUGCAGAGCAGAACUAUAAAAGAAACUCUUUGAUCCAUUGGAAAACUCCCUUUGAGCGUCUUCAACGCUUUCCCCAUUGUAUCCUCCUGCUCCACUGAUCUCUGUAGGGUUCUCUUCCCGACUGGCCCCCAGAGAAAAUUUUGUUCUCUGAACCUUCUCUGCUCUCCAUUAGAGUCUCAUUGGA
ensembl:lncRNA